rnacentral:rRNA from 1 species
CCUACGGGAGGCAGCAGUGGGGAAUAUUGCACAAUGGGCGAAAGCCUGAUGCAGCGACGCCGCGUGAGGGAUGACGGCCUUCGGGUUGUAAACCUCUUUCAGCAGGGAAGAAGCGAAAGUGACGGUACCUGCAGAAGAAGCGCCGGCUAACUACGUGCCAGCAGCCGCGGUAAUACGUAGGGCGCAAGCGUUGUCCGGAAUUAUUGGGCGUAAAGAGCUCGUAGGCGGCUUGUCACGUCGGAUGUGAAAGCCCGGGGCUUAACCCCGGGUCUGCAUUCGAUACGGGCUAGCUAGAGUGUGGUAGGGGAGAUCGGAAUUCCUGGUGUAGCGGUGAAAUGCGCAGAUAUCAGGAGGAACACCGGUGGCGAAGGCGGAUCUCUGGGCCAUUACUGACGCUGAGGAGCGAAAGCGUGGGGAGCGAACAGGAUUAGAUACCCUGGUAGUCCACGCCGUAAACGUUGGGAACUAGGUGUUGGCGACAUUCCACGUCGUCGGUGCCGCAGCUAACGCAUUAAGUUCCCCGCCUGGGGAGUACGGCCGCAAGGCUAAAACUUAAUGAAUUGACGG